CAGAAAACCUUUCUUUUUCUACAUGUUGCUAUUUAAAAUAAUGGAUUUCCUUGUGAGAAAUACUUCAGAUAAAGAAAAAGUACAUGAAAAAUCAUUUCCAGACUGUGGUCUCACAGUGGCUUGUGGAGCGAGCAUAUAAAUAAGGAGAGAUGAAUGCAGUGGCUUUCCAGGGGCUGUUAAUAUGUGGAGUGGAGAAGCAGUCUAGGAAUGAACCUCUCACCAGAGAAGAGAGAACAAAGGUGUAUAACUGUUCAUCAACAUCAGAGCUGGAAGUUUUUGGUAAGAUAUUACUUAUUGGUUAUCUUCCAGACCCAUUUCCAUUACCUAUUGGCUUUGUAUGAAUGUCUGAAUGAUGCCACAUGAGAUGCUCAGAAUUUUGGACUGAGAAACCUGCUGAUCAGCCAGAUACAUCCAGCAAUCACUGGAUUUUCUAAAUAAUUUCUGUUGUUCACUCUUCAUUUCACUACCUGGCAGUCUCAACAACCACCAACUCAAAGAGGAAGAAGAUGUUCAUUCUCAUAAUACCUUUGUCACUUCUCUAGGAAGCUGAUCUUGAAUAUCCUCACCUGCACAGAAUUAGAUCAUAUGACCCACUUAACCACUUUUAAGGCCAGACAAUCCCCCAAAAGAAGGGUCUGGGAACCAUACUCUCCAGCUACUUCUGACUAGGGCAGUAAGACACAC